rnacentral:rRNA from 1 species
AGAGUUUGAUCCUGGCUCAGGACGAACGCUGGCGGCGCGCCUAACACAUGCAAGUCGAACGAGCGAGAGAGAGCUUGCUUUCUUGAGCGAGUGGCGAACGGGUGAGUAACGCGUGAGGAACCUGCUUCAAAGAGGGGGACAACAGUUGGAAACGACUGCUAAUACCGCAUAAGCCCACGGCUCGGCAUCGAGCAGAGGGAAAAGGAGCAAUCCGCUUUGAGAUGGCCUCACGUCCGAUUAGUUAGUUGGUGAGGUAACGGCUCACCAAGACCGCGAUCGGUAGCCGGACUGAGAGGUUGAACGGCCACAUUGGGACUGAGACACGGCCCAGACUCCUACGGGAGGCAGCAGUGGGGGAUAUUGCGCAAUGGGGGCAACCCUGACGCAGCAACGCCGCGUGAAGGAUGAAGGUUUUCGGAUUGUAAACUUCUUUUAUUAAGGACGAAAAAUGACGGUACUUAAUGAAUAAGCUCCGGCUAACUACGUGCCAGCAGCCGCGGUAAUACGUAGGGAGCAAGCGUUGUCCGGAUUUACUGGGUGUAAAGGGUGCGUAGGCGGCUUUGCAAGUCAGAUGUGAAAUCUAUGGGCUCAACCCAUAAACUGCAUUUGAAACUGUAGAGCUUGAGUGAAGUAGAGGCAGGCGGAAUUCCCCGUGUAGCGGUGAAAUGCGUAGAGAUGGGGAGGAACACCAGUGGCGAAGGCGGCCUGCUGGGCUUUAACUGACGCUGAGGCACGAAAGCGUGGGUAGCAAACAGGAUUAGAUACCCUGGUAGUCCACGCUGUAAACGAUGAUUACUAGGUGUGGGGGGUCUGACCCCUUCCGUGCCGGAGUUAACACAAUAAGUAAUCCACCUGGGGAGUACGGCCGCAAGGUUGAAACUCAAAGGAAUUGACGGGGGCCCGCACAAGCAGUGGAGUAUGUGGUUUAAUUCGAAGCAACGCGAAGAACCUUACCAGGUCUUGACAUCCAACUAACGAAGUAGAGAUACAUUAGGUGCCCUUCGGGGAAAGUUGAGACAGGUGGUGCAUGGUUGUCGUCAGCUCGUGUCGUGAGAUGUUGGGUUAAGUCCCGCAACGAGCGCAACCCUUGCUAUUAGUUGCUACGCAAGAGCACUCUAAUAGGACUGCCGUUGACAAAACGGAGGAAGGUGGGGACGACGUCAAAUCAUCAUGCCCCUUAUGACCUGGGCUACACACGUACUACAAUGGAUGUUAACAGAGGGAAGCAAGACAGUGAUGUGGAGCAAACCCCUAAAAACAUUCUCAGUUCAGAUUGCAGGCUGCAACCCGCCUGCAUGAAGAUGGAAUUGCUAGUAAUCGCGGAUCAGAAUGCCGCGGUGAAUACGUUCCCGGGCCUUGUACACACCGCCCGUCACACCAUGGGAGCCGGUAAUACCCGAAGUCAGUAGUCCAACCUCGUGAGGACGCUGCCGAAGGUAGGAUUGGCGACUGGGGUGAAGUCGUAACAAGGUA